rnacentral:tRNA from 4 species
GGGGCGCUGGCGCAACGGUAGCGCGUUCGACUCCAGAUCGAAAGGUUAUCCGUUCAAAUCGGGUGUGCCUCA